rnacentral:rRNA from 1 species
UACAGAGGGUGCAAGCGUUGUUCGGAAUUAUUGGGCGUAAAGCGCGUGUAGGCGGCUUUGCAAGUCGGGUGUGAAAGCCCUCAGCUUAACUGAGGAAGUGCGCCCGAAACUGCAGAGCUUGAGUACCGGAGAGGAUGGCGGAAUUCCCCAAGUAGAGGUGAAAUUCGUAGAUAUGGGGAGGAACACCGGUGGCGAAGGCGGCCAUCUGGACGGAUACUGACGCUGAGACGCGAAAGCGUGGGGAGCAAACAGG